rnacentral:tRNA from 1 species
UAUAGUUCAAGUGGUAGAGUGUAUGCCUAGCAUGCAUGAGGUCCUGGGUUCAAUCCCCAGUA